UACGUAGGGACCGAGCGUUGUCCGGAAUCAUUGGGCGUAAAGAGCGUGUAGGCGGCCACUUAAGUCCUGCGUGAAAUCUUGCGGCUCAACCGCAAGCGGUCGUGGGAAACUGGGUGGCUAGAGUGCGGGAGAGGAGAGUGGAAUUCCUGGUGUAGCGGUGGAAUGCGCAGAUAGUCAGGAAGAACACCCCGUGGCGAAGGCGGCUCUCUGGAACGCAACUGACGCUGAGACGCGAAAGC
rnacentral:rRNA from 1 species